ACUCAACAUUAUUCAAAUUAAAAAGGGUGAGUUGCGGUUGUAAAAGCAUGCCGUUGCCGGUUUUCCGGACAGGACGGAUCCUUGAUCAGCCGGUUAGCCCUAAACUUGUCUAUAGGAGUUU
rnacentral:sRNA from 1 species